rnacentral:rRNA from 1 species
AUUGAACGCUGGCGGCAGGCUUAACACAUGCAAGUCGAGCGGGGGAAGGUAGCCUGCUACUGGACCUAGCGGCGGACGGGUGAGUAAUGCUUAGGGAUCUGCCUAUUAGUGGGGGACAACAUCUCGAAAGGGAUGCUAAUACCGCAUACGUCCUACGGGAGAAGGCAGGGGAUCUUCGGACCUUGCGCUAAUAGAUGAGCGUAAGUCGGAUUAGCUAGUUGGGGGGGUAAAGGCCUACCAAGGCGACGAUCUGGAGCGGGUCUGGGAGGAGGAUCCGCCACACUGGGACUGCGACACGGCCCAGACUCCUACGGGAGGCAGCAGUGGGGAAUAUUGGACAAUGGGGGGAACCCUGAUCCAGCCAUGCCGCGUGUGUGAAGAAGGCCUUAUGGUUGUAAAGCACUUUAAGCGAGGAGGAGGCUACUCUAGUUAAUACCUAGGGAUAGUGGACGUUACUCGCAGAAUAAGCACCGGCUAACUCUGUGCCAGCCGCCGCCGUAA